rnacentral:lncRNA from 1 species
CAUUCAAUUCUUUGUCUGAAGUGAGAAGGACCUGGAAUACAUUUAACUGGUGAGCCAUUUUGAAAAGGAACCAUCCAGUAACAUUUUGGUGCAGCCAGCCAGGAGAGGAGAAAAACCAAGGUACGAAGAGACCAAGGUCCCAAGACAGGCAGAUAGGAAUCCACUUGGACCACAC